rnacentral:tRNA from 1 species
GGAAGGUUGGCAGAGUGGUUGAAUGCGGCGGUCUUGAAAACCGUUGUGACCUUUGGUCACCGGAGGUUCGAAUCCUCCACCUUCCG